UCCCUCUCUCUCUCUCUCCCUCUCUUUCUCUCUCAAAAUAAAUUUUAAAAUAAAUAAACUUAAAAAAAUAAUUUCUGCAGAAAAUGAAUAAGGAAGGUAAUCAAUAUUGUUCAUAAAGCUACAGAAAUUGAGGCAUUGAGAUAUUGGCAUGGGGACAAAGUGAGCAAUGUAACAGAGGGCCCAUGAACAGACCCACCUAUAUGCUAUCUUUGAUAUGUUACAAAGGGGCCCACUGGGGAGAGGUGCAACUCAAUAAAUGAGUCUAAGACAGUUGAGGACUAUGAUGUAAAAACACCGAAUCAGAUACCCACCUUAAGCCAUUUACAGAAAUAACUUCAAAGUAGAUUAAAGCCAACACGAGAAACAAAACAUUAAAAAAUUUAGGAAAAUGUAUAAGAAGCUAUCUGUAUGACCUCUGGGUGGGGAAGCAGUUCUCAAAAUAAGAUACAAAGAACAGCCACGCAGAAACGAAAAAAAAUCAAUAUAGCAAACAACAUUAAAGUUUAGAACUUCCAUGUGAUGAAAUACAACUUAAGCGCAAGCCAUAGCUGGCAGAAAUUUCCGUGCAUACAAAUGACAAAAAAUGGCAGACAGAAUAUGUUUUCAAAGUCCUACCAAUCCACUGGAGAAGGACGAAAUGAGAGGAAACUGUGCAAACGAAGCAGGAAGCUUCCUCGAUGGCCAAUAAACAGAAGAAUAGAAUAAAACCUCCCGAAUCAUGCUAGAAAUGUAAUUAAAAGAAGGUGGUAGCAUGUCAUACCAAUCAGACUGACAGCAGUGAAAAAGUCUGGCAAUACCAGCUGUCAUCACGUACUGGUCAGGAAAGCUAUGGAGGUAGAAAAUGGUACGAUCACUUGGGAAGGCAUUUUGGCCGCUCUUGUAACGUUGAAAAUGGACACUCCAUAUAGCCCAGUUAGCAAAGUUGCAGAGGAUAUGUAGUACACUGCCAGUUUGUAUAAAGUAUUAAAACUAAAAUAAAUCACAUCUAUGUAAUGUCUGGAUACAUACACAGCAGUGAAAUAGCACACAGAACUGAUGGACACUAAAUUCAGGUUGUUUAUUCCUGGGCAGAUGGGAGGGAGAUCAUGGGAAGAUAAGGGUUGCCAACUUUAUCUGUGCUUCUGUUUUCCAUGAAAAAAGAAAUAAGGUAUGAAGCAAAUAUUGAACAAUGUUAAGGUUGGAUAGAGUCAGUUCAGUGGGUGUUCAUUAGAUUAUUAUCCUUUCCCGUAUGCUCAUAAGAUUUCAUAAUUCAAUAAAAAAGUUUAAUGGGAAGUAAGGAAGUAGAGACAGUAGGCAAAAGAAAGCUCAUUAGAGCAGUUUUGUCCCGAAGAAGAACAAAGAAACUGGUAACAGCUGGAGGGACAUGAGCACACAGGGCUAUUUUUAAAAGUGGGUCAUUUCAAGCAUAUUUAUACAUUGACUGAAAUACCUUCAUGGACAAAGAAAUUGAUGGUGUACUAGGGAAAGAAGGUGAUUGUAGGAACAAAGGCCUCGGAAAGAUAAGAGGCAGUAGAAUUUGUGUUUGGAGAGAAUAGGGGUUGUCUCAGCAUUGUCCUGGGAGAGAGGACCACAUAGAGAUGGAAGUUUUGUUCGUGCAGAGGAAGGCCUGUCCCUCUAAGAACUUUUGUUUUCCGAAUGAUGUAUAAGGUCAGAUUCACAUGAGGAGUAGGGAGAGGGCGUCAGCGUUGAGAAGAGAAGCGAAGGGAAGCUAUGAAGCCAACGUCUUGGAAAUCGAGAAAACAAACUUAUUGGAAUCUCCAUGCUACACUGAAUGACCAGCUGAGUCCUGUGGUCAUCAUGCUCAAAUGAGCUCCAUCCACAUGCUGGGAUUUUCUCCAGCAAAGUUCAGCAGCUCAGGCGCUGGUGCAGAGAAGGCCAAAGAUUGGGUCGCACCAGGAGAUGGUUUCCCCAGGCAACGGAAAAAGAGAGAAGCAGGAAGGCUGAGGAUGUUCACAAAGAGGUGACUUUAAGGGUAGUCAUACAGUGUAAGCUAAGUAAAAGGACAUGGGGACAAAAAUAAAGAUGGUGUCAGUGGACUGGAGAAUAAGAUGAGAUCAAGGAAUCAUUGCACUGGGAGCCUGGAGAAGGAUCCCCAGAAGUUGUUAUGGGGGAGGGUAGGUUAAGGAGGUGCAGUGGUCCAAGAUUUGUCCAUGACAAUGGGACCAGAGCUGGAGAAGUUUAUGGUUGUUGCAGGUUAUUGUAGGAGGGCAGGUGGGUCAGGGAAGAAAGCCAGCCUCUUGGAUGUGUGAUGAAUAUAGAGAUCAAAGUCACUAAGAGGAAUCUUUAGUGAAUGAGGUAGAGUGACACAGGAAGUUCGGGAGACAACUGUGGGGAAAAAGGGGCACUGCUGUGUUCAUUUCACAGUUUGAAAAUGCGGUUCAGAGAGAACGUGUCUCUAGGAAGCAGCUUGCAAACUAAUAACCAGAGGAACCCAGAAGUGUCUGACUCCAAACUCCAUAUUCUCUUUCCUGUACCAAUCUCCUUGUGCAAGUUUCGACACAGUAAACUUGAAUAACUAUACAAUGGAAUUCGAUGUUAAUCUUCCAGUACCUUCUCUGGACAGAGCUGGUCAUCACGACCCUUAACUGAUGUGACUAAUCAGGAAUAUUUGGGGAGUUUUCUCACAUACACAAGCCCAGGCUGACCCUGCACCUAGUGAUCAGUCUCUAGGGGAUGUGUGCAAACCUAUGAUUUUGAAAAAGCUCCCGAGAUGAGUCUGAUACACAGGUACUUAACAAACAUUAACCUCAGGUUAUUGUCAGCACAAAAGCUCACCUGUCUUUAAAGCAGAAAUGUUCUGAUAUUCCUGAGAAAGAAAUGAUCCAAGAGAACAAAGACUUAAGGGCCCAGUUGUGUUUUUCUAUCCAUGUCUACGCUAUGGCUCUUGUUCCAAGUACUCUAUAUAGCAACUCAUUCCAUAUUAAGCUGUAUUGAGAGAUAUGUUUUCCUGUUCAGAAUCUUAUGUUUUCACAGAACAUUCUUAAUAUUUGCUUGUCUUGCUUAAAGAUUUGCUAAAAUACCAACUUUCACCAAUAGGUUUCUAUAAAAUGUUUUGCUUAUCUGUAAUAUCUUCUGUAAAAUGUUGCCAACUUUAUUACUCUAGAGAUGGCCAAUCUUAUGGGGAUCUCUCUUUUGUCUGUCUGUCGGUCUCUCCCUUUCUCUCACUCACACACACACACACACACACACACACACACACACACACACCUCUUCUCUUCUGCUAAGAUCAGAUUUUCCAGCUUUGUGCAUAAUCAAAGGGAUAGCAACUGGGAGAAAAUUUCCCACUGAGUAGCACCAAGAAAGACCAUUUUGACCACUGUUUACUUCCCUUCUAUCCUUUCUUCCACGAGCUCAACCAGCACAGACAUGAUUAUUUAAUUAUGCCAGUAUGAGAGCUACAAUAUUUAUUUCACCUUUCCCUGCCCCCAGGAGAUGAUGUCAUUCCAACUCGCCCCAGGAAAACAUGUCAGGAUCUUGGGCAGGUGAGGAAAUGGCGUGCGGUUUUACCUAGUUCCUAAAAAAUUGUGCCGCACCUUCCAACUUCCACCCAGUUCAAUCAUGGUACAUGGAGUAGGCUGGAUUGUCUUCUGUUUCAUUCCCUAGCUCCUUGUGCAGUGCACAGGACAUGAUUCAUCCAAAUGUGAUGACUGCAUCAGUGAAGUCACAGACAUCUGAGGCUCAGGCAGUCCUCAGUGAAGUGGACUCCCAACGUGCCAUUCACGUCCUGCUAGAAGGCGUAGGUGGGAUUCAGACAGCACUGCUGGGGGUAUUGGAGGCUGGAUCCUCACCACCUGCACUACUAGGCCAGGAAUUGCAAACUUUGCCUAUGAAGGCCAGUUCAUAGGUAACCAGAUCAAGGAGAGUCGGAUACAGAUCUGAUGGAGAGACUACAUGAAAUCCUGGAGUCAGAGUGAACGGGACUUGGGGGGUAAUUUCCUCUGCAAGAGGAUGACGCAUAUUUUGUGCAGAGGGGGGUAAAUGAAUAUAUGUGACCAAGAGAGUGCACUGAUAGCUGGUAUUUUUGUUGGCAGCUAUUGGCUCCUUUGUACUGUGGGAGUCCUCUGCCAGCUGCCUGUGUGAGCUGUAGGAUGUAGGCUACAUCUUCGCAGAAGCUUUAAGAGCCGUUGGAUGUCUGCCUCCCCUGCCUUGUUAUUUCCCUUUGGCCAUGACAAUGGCAUGUCCCAAGGGAGGCUACUCCUCCAGCUUUGGUCCUAGAAUGAAGAUACACGAAGCUGACCCAGCAAUGGCAUCGAACGUGAGCGAGAGAUAAACCAGAGAUUUGGGGGGCGUUUCCGCAACAAUCUAUAGUGAAAAUUGAUGGAUAGAUUCUGUAAUUAUCCAACUCUUUGCAUAGCUGAUUAUUCACAUAAGGAGAGAAGAGCCUGUGAAGCAUCAGGUCAAUACGGUCAAAGCUUUACAUCAAUUCAAGUUUUUAAAAAAUCUGAAAGAUGAAAGUUUGGCAGCAUGUAAACAAAACAUUUGGAUUACAGACUGAAAUUUGGGCUGAGUUGAUGAUGUUGUCUUGCCCCUCCUUAAGAUUGUUUGACUGUAAUCAUCAUGUUAGGAGAAUUCUUAAUGGUUUCGAAUUUAGGAGUAUGUGAGUAAUUAGAACUUGCUUUCACUCUGCCUAACUCUCAUGUAUGUUGCAUGUGAUUUUCUCAGAGAGUAAUCAACACUGACUUCUUCAAAGGUGAAGCAAACUUCAGAAGGGUUGUUAACUGAACAUCUGCACCCCGGGAGUGGGCUGUCCAACCAAACCCGAUUCAAAUGCUAUUUGAUUUCUUUCCUGUUUAGUACAAGGUAGUUUUAGAAAGGAAAGAUUGGUGUUCUUUUUUCUACUCCUCUUUUUUUCCCCAAAUAAAAGUAUGAAGACUUCAACAAGCUCCUCUUUUUUUUUUUUUUAAAUCAGCGUUAAAACUAACAUAUUCAAAGUCAUUUGUAUAAAUUGUGGGGAAGGUUGCUGACUCCGUGUGAUCAGUGGGCUCUGAACAGAAGUUUGAUAAAGGCUCUCAGUGCGCCUGUGACAGCAUCAAUAACCUUGGCCUUGGGGAAGGAAGGCUGGAUGAGGACGGAUUGGUGGUGGCUCCGGCCAGUCAGGCUCCCCCGCUGCCAGUCGCAGAGGCUGAUGUGUCUGCCCGCGGCAACACCGCCCCCGUGCAAUUAACAGACGCCACAAUGAGAACAACUGUUCCUCGCCUCAUUCAACACCAUCAUUCUGACCUUGCUGCUAACUCUUAAUCACUUCAGUAACGCCACAUGCUGCCGUCUGGACUUUUUUUGGAGACCUGCUGGAAUGACAACAUUUUCCAAAUAAUUAUUCAAGAUGUGAUAAAAUCCAUAGUUUCGUUUUGCAAGUUUCAACAUUUUUAAUUGCAGGUGUUUGAAAAGUCAACAUAUACGAACGGAGUCCUGAUAGUAAACAGGCAUGUUUGAAUCCCCUAAAGUCGAUAGGAAAAAUGUCAGCACACAGAUACCUUAUGGUCCCUUGAAUAUAGACAUUGUAUAUUCUCUUAAGUAUAAAACAGAAACCCACCAUGCAUUAAUUUACUGAAGUGGGUUUUGAUCUGUGUAUGUAUAUUACCAAUCUAUUUGUCUGUUUUAUUAGGGCAAUGCUAGCUGCUGUAACAAAGAAACCCAACAUUUUGGUCGUUUAAUAUGAUGGGAUUUCUUUCUUGUUCAUGUAAUAAUCUGAUGAAAAAUUCCUGGUCAGUAGGUAGUUUUUUUUCUAGCUUGUGAUUCAGAGACCUUAAUACUUUCCAUCUCGUGGGGCCACGAACCCUGGGAGCUCUGAUAGUUCAAAGUAUUGUUUCCAACCAGCAAAAGGGCAAGAAGACAGUUCAGAGGGCUCAUGUGCCUCUAAGUACCCAGCUAAGAAGUGACACACAUCACUUCCCUUCAUAUCUCAAUCGGGAGAACUGGUUCAUGGCCAGACCUGGGUAUGAAGUUGAUCUGGAAAACAUUCUAAGUUGGGCAACCACCUACAAAAAAAAUCUCCAAAUUAAAUUGUGGAAGAAGGAGCACCAUUUGGGGUUCAUAGCUAGUUUUUGCUUCCACAGUCACCUUGUGGGAGAAUAUGUUUUUAAAGUUUCUUUCUCGUAUAUUUAAGAACAUUGGUCUUUUUAUGUCAAUGUUAUGUCUAUUCUGUUUCAAAAUUCAAGGGGAAACUUCUACCUGCAGCAUUGAAUUAUUAAUAAUCUGACUCCAUCUUCCUAUACACAAAAUUUGUAUUUUGUAUUGUUGUAUACAAAAGCAUUGUUGUAUAACACUUGCUAAUUAAAAUUCAUCUACUAUCACCGGGCCCACUUAGAGAGUUUCAGGCUACAUUCAUGAUUUGGGGUUGAAGGUAACAUGAAAAUCACAAACUCCUUCUUUCAGAUACCAUAAAAAUAUUAAAUCUGAUGACUUCAGAAACUUAUUCCCCCAGAAAGAAUCUAGAUCAUUUCCAACAAUCCCAUUCAUUCAGAAACAUUUAUUGUUCUACUACUAGACUCCAGGCAUGAAGACUCAUUUUGUAUUUCUGCUAGUGUAAAAUAUUUAAUUUAGUUACCUGCAACUUUCGAUGUAAAUUUGUUAAGAAUUUUCCAAAAGAAACUAAACUGCAUUAACUGAUUCUGUAUCCCUCCCUUCAACAUACUGACCUGGUUUUCCUUUUCCUCCAAACACCCUGGGCUUGUUGGUCAACCAGGGAGCUAUUCUCCUGGAAGUGCUCUACUUAAUAAAGUGUAAAUAUUAAGCUGAUUUUCCUGGUGUGGGGCAGAGACUCAUAGACUCAGAGAGCACGCUCCUUACCCCCCUCCUCCCAACUCCUUGUGACUUCCACUCGCCCAAAAGAUCUGGUUCUUCAGCCAUUGAGGGAAGGAAAAGCCGUGUUACUGAACAAAGGCCUCCUGUCAUCAUUCCUUGAUCUUCCCAUGGUGCCUGUCUCAGAGAGGGACACUUUGAGAAAUGGAGUAAGACGUCCAUACUAAUGACUUGGUAAUAAGUCAAAUUGAUUUCCACCUUUUUUGUUGUUGUUGUUUUCAGCCAAAUUGCAGAAGAACUUAAUUAGGUUGUCAGCUGAUAAAACAUUAAAAGUAAUUUUUGAUGAUAGAUUAUAGUAUGAUUUCUGGAGGGUAGCUUUGAAGAAUUCAAAGAAUUGAGUGACAUCGUUACAACAGUUUUCUUCCAUUUCCGUCUAUUUGUGUGGAUGAAUUCUCUAAGCAUUUGGACUUAUAAAACAGAAAAAUAGGAACAGAAUUGAGACUGAAUCUUUUUUUUUUUUUUUUUGAGCCAUAAGUGAUUUUUUUCCUCCAGAGACAUAUAAACAA